AUCAAGUCGCUGGCAAGAAGCUCUCCGGAAACUGAAUUUACUCACCAGCAUUGGAACAUUCCAUCUGCUGAGUCACACUCACUUCUCUUAUCAUCAUUAACCCUGCGUAGGGGCUCCUGGCGCCAGAAGGAGCAACCCAAAGCUCUUCGUCUUGGGGGCUGGGGAGGAAGAUGGUGCACCCUGGACAACCCUCAGAGGAGGAGAAAAUCACCGGCUCCCAAUUUGGGCAGCGAAUCAGAAGCAGCAUGGAUUCACUGCCUUUUGAAAUAGUGAAACUACCGUCAUUGGAGAAAGGCGAACUGUGGUUAGGCGACCUGGGAUUCCUCCGCUGGGAGAGAGGUUGAACUAGGUGAACUUGAAGGUUUCAUGCAAGGAAAGAGAAGUUAGCUGAUAUUUAUGUAGACCAGCUUCUAGAUUGACACUAAGUACAAAGCUAAUGUGUAUUUACUAUGGCUUUAAUCUAUACUGAUUAAGAAUGUCUCAUUUAUUCACCUGCACCUCAUGUUUUACUUGGCAUGUAUCUUUAUUAUAGUUAAUAUAAAUAUCACAUUAGCUGCUUACAGAACAUAUAGAAUUUGCUGUCCUGAGUUUAUUUACAAGUUAGUACCUCAUUUAUGAGACUUUUUACCCCUUGAGAACAUCCGCCUUCUUCUUGAAAACUGUGACUGGUUCAUUAUAAACAUAUAUUCGUAUAAUGGAGUUAAUGGGGUUAUCAUCUGUUUAUCUCUUUUAAUUAGGCCCUGAUUUGCCCAAACAAUUUCAGUUACUUUCUUGAUUACAGUUGGAGGAGCAUGUGGUUUGGUGUGGGCUUGGUAAAGAGCUGCUGUCUGCUUCUCUAAAUCCACGUAUAGUAUCAUAUGUUCAGGCUGAGUUAAUAUUUGAUAUGUGAGUUGUUCCCUUAUCUUGUUAGAUACUCUUGAUAAAAGAAUUCCCACUCAUGAAUUUUCAUGGAUAUACCUCUG
rnacentral:lncRNA from 1 species